rnacentral:rRNA from 1 species
AGUGAACGCUGGCGGUAGACCUAACACAUGCAAGUCGAACGACAGCACAGUAAGAGCUUGCUCUUACGGGUGGCGAGUGGCGGACGGGUGAGGCAUACAUCGGAAUCUACUUUUUCGUGGGGGAUAACGUAGGGAAACUUACGCUAAUACCGCAUACGACCUACGGGUGAAAGCAGUGGAUCUUCGCACCUUGCGCGAUUCAAUGAGCCGAUGUCGGAUUAGCUAGUUGGCGUGGUAACGGCCCACCAAGGCGACGAUCCGUAGCUGGUCUGAGAGGAUGAUCAGCCACACUGGAACUGAGACACGGUCCAGACUCCUACGGGAGGCAGCAGUGGGGAAUAUUGCGCAAUGGGCGAAAGCCUGAUCCAGCCAUACCGCGUGAGUGAAGAAGGCCUUCGGGUCGUAAAGCCCUUUUGUUGGGAAAGAAAAGCAGCAUGAUAAUACCCGGCUGUUUUGACGGUACCUAAAGAAUAAGCACCGGCUAACUUCGUG